UUAUAUUUUUACAGAAAGCUUGCUAGUCUUUGUUCAUAAAGUUUUUCUACAAUUUUUGAGAACUGAGGUAAAAGGGAUAUUGGCCUAUACACUCAAAAAAAUCAACAAGGGCAGUUGUUUGAUUAAUAAAGUAGAAAUAUGUUUAAAUGAAAUGAAUUAAUCAUGUUUAUGUUUACUAAAUGAUUUGUUCUUGUUGGUUGUACAUGGUUUCAAAGAAAUUCAAACCAAUUAAAUUGAUUCAUGUGAGUCCAACAAGAAUGAGAUUAAUCAAAGCAAUAUGACUCCAGUGGUCAGCUACUGCGCAUGCUCCAUGCCCCAAGGUCUCCUGGGAAAUAACUGAAGAAUCGUCAGGUCCUUUCCCGCUCAGUCCUUUGUUAUCUUCGCUCUUACAAACAUUGAGUGCAAGUCAAUCUGUGUCUCUGUAUGAUCAUUUGUAUGCACCCUGUUUUUUAAAUGUGAGGUGUAUGUGGCAGUGCAGACAUUGUGACACAAGAGAGAGAACUAGGUACAAAUUACUUAAACAUUAUAAACUAUACCAUCAUUGUGGAAGAGGCCAACAUUAUCUGUGCAUAAAUGUUAGUUGUCCAUGCUCAUUCAAGACUUGGACUGGACUCAAAGCCCAUGUCUAUAAAUGUCAUCCAUAUCAGCUUGUAUCAACAGCUUCCAGUUCAGUAACUUUUAAAUGUGAGUUGUGUGAUCGCAGUGACAUCUCAACAGAAAGAGACUUUUUUGUUCAUAUUGGAACACAUCUGCGCAAUAUAGAAACAGUUAACUGUGUAUUUAAUGGUUGCUCUUUCAGGACAAAUGUCCAUAGUACAUUUUACACACACAAAAAGAGGAAGCAUCAUCCACACAAAAAUGGCCAACCUCCGAAGCAAACUAAGGGGGCUGGGAUGUGCCGAGGUAAUGCUUAAUUCACUGAAGAGCAAGAACCAAGAUAAAUCUCUGGCAGCAUUGAAUGUCAAAAAGCCAAGAAGGGCAGAAGUCAAUUACUGUCCAGAACACCCAAAAGGAGAAACCACCAAGAGUCUUGAAGAAGAGAGAAUUGCACUGCUUUCUGAGUACAUGAAAAAAGACAAUUGGCAUACAGUGACAGCAAAAAUGGACAAGACUUUCUCAUACAGGAGGCAAGAAGUUCUGCAAGGACAACCCUUCGUUGCAGACUUCAAAAGCAGAUGGCCAGCUCUUUUCAAUGAGAAAGAGAUCGAUAAUGAAUUCAAGCGCAUAUCAACUGUGCCUCUGCUUUCGACAUUCUUCGCUGCACUUGACCAGUACUCUCCCCGUCUGAUAGAGAUCUUUAGACAUAAAGGUGGAGCAGGUGGAAGGAAGAUCCAACAUGUCAUGAUGGACAUUUCCAAGGAUGACACAAUACACACUAGACGAACAUGCGUCCUCAAGUCCUUGUGCAUCUACCUGAAUGAAGACCACGAAAAACUUGUGAAGGAAUACAAG